UACGAAGGGGGCUAGCGUUGUUCGGAUUUACUGGGCGUAAAGCGCACGUAGGCGGAUCGUUAAGUCGGGGGUGAAAUCCUGGAGCUCAACUCCAGAACUGCCUUCGAUACUGGCGAUCUUGAGUCCGGAAGAGGUGAGUGGAACUCCUAGUGUAGAGGUGGAAUUCGUAGAUAUUAGGAAGAACACCAGUGGCGAAGGCGGCUCACUGGUCCGGUACUGACGCUGAGAUGCGAAAGCGUGGGGAGCAAACAGGG
rnacentral:rRNA from 1 species